rnacentral:tRNA from 1 species
ACCUGGGUGGCUCAGUCGGUUAAGCAUCUGACUUCAGCUCAGGUCAUGAUCUCACAGUUCGUGAGUUCGAGCCUCAUGUCAGGCU